UAGGGAAUCUUCGGCAAUGGACGAAAGUCUGACCGAGCAACGCCGCGUGAGUGAAGAAGGUUUUCGGAUCGAAAAACUCUGUUGUUAGAGAAGAACAAGGACGUUAGUAACUGAACGUCCCCUGACGGUAUCUAACCAGAAAGCCACGGCUAACUACGUGCCAGCAGCCGCGGUAAUACGUAGGUGGCAAGCGUUGUCCGGAUUGAUUGGGCGUAAAGCGAGCGCAGGCGGUUUCUUAAGUCUGAUGUGAAAGCCCCCGGCUCAACCGGGGAGGGUCAUUGGAAACUGGGAGACUUGAGUGCAGAAGAGGAGAGUGGAAUUCCAUGUGGAGCGGUGAAAUGCGUAGGUAUAUGGAGGAACACCAGUGGCGAAGGCGGCUCUCUGGUCUGUAACUGACGCUGAGGCUCGAAAGCGUGGGGAGCAAACAGG
rnacentral:rRNA from 1 species